rnacentral:rRNA from 1 species
CGCUUUCGACAGGCUUAACACAUGCAAGUCGAGGGGCAGCGGGGGUAGCGAUACCCGCCGGCGACCGGCGCACGGGUGAGUAACGCGUAUGCAACUUGCCUAUCAGAGGGGGAUAACCCGGCGAAAGUCGGACUAAUACCGCAUGAAGCAGGGGCCCCGCAUGGGGAUAUUUGCUAAAGAUUCAUCGCUGAUAGAUAGGCAUGCGUUCCAUUAGGCAGUUGGCGGGGUAACGGCCCACCAAACCGACGAUGGAUAGGGGUUCUGAGAGGAAGGUCCCCCACAUUGGUACUGAGACACGGACCAAACUCCUACGGGAGGCAGCAGUGAGGAAUAUUGGUCAAUGGCCGAGAGGCUGAACCAGCCAAGUCGCGUGAGGGAUGAAGGUUCUAUGGAUCGUAAACCUCUUUUAUAAGGGAAUAAAGUGCGGGACGUGUCCCGUUUUGUAUGUACCUUAUGAAUAAGGAUCGGCUAACUCCGUGCCAGCAGCCGCGGUAAUACGGAGGAUCCGAGCGUUAUCCGGAUUUAUUGGGUUUAAAGGGUGCGUAGGCGGCCUUUUAAGUCAGCGGUGAAAGUCUGUGGCUCAACCAUAGAAUUGCCGUUGAAACUGGGGGGCUUGAGUAUGUUUGAGGCAGGCGGAAUGCGUGGUGUAGCGGUGAAAUGCAUAGAUAUCACGCAGAACCCCGAUUGCGAAGGCAGCCUGCCAAGCCAUUACUGACGCUGAUGCACGAAAGCGUGGGGAUCAAACAGGAUUAGAUACCCUGGUAGUCCACGCAGUAAACGAUGAUCACUAGCUGUUUGCGAUACACUGUAAGCGGCACAGCGAAAGCGUUAAGUGAUCCACCUGGGGAGUACGCCGGCAACGGUGAAACUCAAAGGAAUUGACGGGGGCCCGCACAAGCGGAGGAACAUGUGGUUUAAUUCGAUGAUACGCGAGGAACCUUACCCGGGUUUGAACGCAUUCGGACCGAGGUGGAAACACCUUUUCUAGCAAUAGCCGUUUGCGAGGUGCUGCAUGGUUGUCGUCAGCUCGUGCCGUGAGGUGUCGGCUUAAGUGCCAUAACGAGCGCAACCCUUGCCACUAGUUACUAACAGGUAAAGCUGAGGACUCUGGUGGGACUGCCAGCGUAAGCUGCGAGGAAGGCGGGGAUGACGUCAAAUCAGCACGGCCCUUACAUCCGGGGCGACACACGUGUUACAAUGGCGUGGACAAAGGGAGGCCACCUGGCGACAGGGAGCGAAUCCCCAAACCACGUCUCAGUUCGGAUCGGAGUCUGCAACCCGACUCCGUGAAGCUGGAUUCGCUAGUAAUCGCGCAUCAGCCAUGGCGCGGUGAAUACGUUCCCGGGCCUUGUACACACCGCCCGUCAAGCCAUGGGAGCCGGGGGUACCUGAAGUCCGUAACCGAAAGGAUCGGCCUAGGGUAAAACUGGUGACUGGG